rnacentral:rRNA from 1 species
ACUCCUACGGGAGGCAGCAGUGGGAAUAUUGCACAAUGGGCGCAAGCCUGAUGCAGCCAUGCCGCGUGUGUGAAGAAGGCCUUCGGGUUGUAAAGCACUUUCAGUCGUGAGGAAGGUAGUGUAGUUAAUAGCUUGCUAUAUUUUGACGUUAGCGACAGAAGAAGCACCGGCUAACUCCGUGCCAGCAGCCGCGGUAAUACGGAGGGUGCGAGCGUUAAUCGGAAUUACUGGGCGUAAAGCGCAUGCAGGUGGUUUGUUAAGUCAGAUGUGAAAGCCCGGGCU